CCCUACUGCUAUCGGGGUGGGACUAAGCCAUGCGAGUCGUGCGUCUUUACGCUAUGGUGAGGCGCGGUCAUACGGCUCAGUAACACGUGGCUAACCUACCCUUGGGACGGGGACAACCCCGGGAAACUGGGGCUAAUCCCCGAUGGGUGAGGAGGCCUGGAAUGGUUCCUCGCCGAAAGGGCGCUGAAACCAUGCUUUUCAGCGUUGCCCAAGGACGGGGCCGCGGCCGAUCAGGUUGUUGGUGGGGUAACGGCUCACCAAGCCUUUGACCGGUACGGGCCGUGAGAGUGGGAGCCCGGAGAUGGGCACUGAGACAAGGGCCCAGGCCCUACGGGGUGCAGCAGGCGCGAAAACUCCGCAAUGCGCGAAAGCGUGACGGGGCUAUCCCGAGUGCCGUCCGCUGAGGAUGGCUUUUCCACGGUGUAAGGAGCCGUGGGAAUAAGGAGAGGGCAAGACUGGUGUCAGCCGCCGCGGUAAUACCAGCUCUCCGAGUGGUAGGGACGAUUAUUGGGCUUAAAGCGUCCGUAGCCGGCCCGGUAAGUCUCUCGUCAAAUCCAGCGACCUAAUCGUUGGACUGCGGGAGAUACUGUUGGGCUAGGAGGCGGGAGAGGCCGACGGUAUUCUCGGGGUAGGGGUGAAAUCCUAUAAUCCCGGGAGGACCACCAGUGGCGAAGGCGGUCGGCUAGAACGCGCUCGACGGUGAUGGACGAAAGCUGGGGGAGCGAACCGGAUUAGAUACCCGGGUAGUCCCAGCUGUAAACGAUGCGGGCUAGGUGUUGGGGAGGCUACGAGCCUCUUCAGUGCCGCAGC
rnacentral:rRNA from 1 species